rnacentral:rRNA from 1 species
AACGUCGUGAGACAGUUCGGUCCCUAUCUGCCGUGGGCGCUGGAGAAUUGAGGGGGGCUGCUCCUAGUACGAGAGGACCGGAGUGGACGCAUCACUGGUGUUCGGGUUGUCAUGCCAAUGGCACUGCCCGGUAGCUAAAUGCGGAAGAGAUAAGUGCUGAAAGCAUCUAAGCACGAAACUUGCCCCGAGAUGAGUUCUCCCUGAGACUUUAAGUCUCCUGAAGGAACGUUGAAGACGACGACGUUGAUAGGCCGGGUGUGUAAGCGCAGCGAUGCGUUGAGCUAACCGGUACUAAUGAACCGUGAGGCUUAACCUUACAACGCCGAAG